GACGAACGCUGGCGGCGUGCUUAACACAUGCAAGUCGAACGGAAAGGCCCUGCUUUUGUGGGGUGCUCGGGUGGCGAACGGGUGAGUAACACGUGAGUAACCUGCCCUUCACUUUGGGAUAACUUCAGGAAACUGGGGCUAAUACCGGAUAGGAGCUCCUGCUGCUUGGUGGGCGUUGGAUAGUUUCGGCGGUUGGGGAUGGACUCGCGGCUUAUCAGCUUGUUGGUGGGGUAGUGGCUUACCAAGGCUUUGACGGGUAGCCGGCCUGAGAGGGUGACCGGCCACAUUAGGACUGAGAUACGGCCCAGACUCGUACGGGAGGCAGCGGUGGGGAAUAUUGCACAAUGGGCGGAAGCCUGAUGCGGCAACGCCGCGUGCGGGAUGACGGCCUUCGGGUUGUAAACCGCUUUCGCCUGUGACGAAGCGUGAGUGACGGUAAUGGGUAAAGAAGCACCGGCUAACUACGUG
rnacentral:rRNA from 1 species